AUGGUUAUUUAUACAUGGAACUGCUACUGUGUUCAUCCUUCAGUUUUUAAUUUAUUUGACUUAUCUUUCUCACCUGGCUUUCAAAUGGGGGGUCACAGAGUAGACCCCAUUCUGACUUGGGCAGAACACAACGUUCCACAUCUAUCGGCAAUUCACAUCCCGGGGUGUUAAAUGUAGAGGCGGACUUCCUAAGCAGACACCGAGUAGAUCCCGGAGAAUGGGAACUCCACCACGAAGCCUUUCAACUGCUGGUAGACAAGUGGGGAGAACCUCAAGUCGACUUGAUCACAAAGAUCCUAGGUUCUUCUCACGAUACCGAGACCCCCUAGCAGCGGGAAUAGACGCACAGUCCUCCGCACAGCUAAGGUGGUUUCCUCUUCCACAUCAAUACGGAAAUCAUUCUUCCAUCAUUCUGCAAUAAUCCACAUAAUGAAAAGGAGGCAAAGUUUCAUAGACUUGAUGUGGUCCGAGCACUAAGGACUUAUGUUGCUCGUACCAAACCCUUCAGGAACACUGAUACUCUGUUUGUGAUCCCAUCAGGACCUCGUAAGGGAAUGGCUGCAACCAAAACCAUGUUGGCCCGCUGGGUCAAAGAAGCAAUUACACGGUCCUACCUGGCACAGAAGAGGACACUUCCGAUUUGGCUACGUGCCCACUCUACCAGAGCAUUUGGAGCCUCAUGGGCUCAUCGACACAUGGCAUGGGCAGAUCAGGUCUGCAGGGCGGCUACUUGGGCCUCCUUACAUACCUUCACUACAUUUUACCAAUUCAAUACAUAACUUUCCGCGGAGGUGGCUCUAGGCAGUAAAAUUCUCCAAGCGGCCGUUUCAAAAGGAGUUCUUCCCUCUCCUGGUUUGGGGCAUCUUUGGUAUGUCCCCAUAGUUCCUGUGUCCCCCUCCGAUGUGAGAGAAAGAAAGAUUUAUGUACUCGCCGUUAAAUCCCUUUUCUCUCUAGUCGGAAGGGGGACACAGGACUUCCCUCCCGGAAAUAUUCUGUUCACAGUUCAGCCAUCCUGGUGGAACAGUUAUGUUUCAGUUCACCGUUCAUGAGUUCUUUGUGAGCAACUGAGCCUGAAAGGCAAGGUGAGAGGGGUAAAAGGAGAGAGGGAGGAGUCACAUUUCUGACAUCACUUCAGUGUCCUACCUCCUGGUGGAAGGAGCCUUUUAUCCCCAUAAUUCCUGUGUCCCCCCUUCCGACUAGAGCCAAAAGGAUUUAACGGUGAGUAUAUAAAUCUUUCUUUACCAACCUGAUAUUUGCCUGCAGGUAGCAUUUAUAGCCACUUCCAUAGCAAAGGUGCAAUGGCAGCGGGAAGAGGUGAAACGGCAACUUACGUAGCAAAAGAGGUACUCUCAAGAUCUGUUGCAUCAGAUAUCGGAAAUAAGGCGGAGGCAAUCAUCUGGAGCCAUGCUGCAGGUAAUACUGCUGCUAUUACUUAUACCUGCAACUUGUAACAGUUGAAUUAUUUAUCCCUAACUCAUUAAUGCCAAAAUAUAACUUUACCAAAGUAACUGCAAAGGAUACCUAUAAGGCAUCAAUAUGCCCAACAAUUAUUUAUACCCGCCUAUUUAUACCUGCUUAUCCUCCUUAACCACCCCAGCUUCACCCACCGCCUCACCCAGGCCUAAAACAUGGAAGUGAGCCGACAGAAGGAGAGAAUUUAUUUUUUUUGCCUACCAGUCUUAAACUGCAAUGUUAACUCACAUUUAGCUGCCUCGCAGUAUCCAUUGUGAAACCUGCAAAGGGUUCUGCCAGGGAGUUUGUAGGAGGCUGUAUAAUACGUUUGGACCAUUACUUAUUAUGCACCUUCAGAUCUAUAGAUUUAAGUAGCAUUGGUUUCUAGUAAACUGGAACCAGUAUGCAAAUCCCCAUGUGCUGGGUUUUUUUUUUUUAAUCCAUAGAUCUCUGUAUGGAUAGCAUUCCCAGAGAGGUGUAUGAUGCAUUACAGAGUGUCAUGGAGUAACUGCAGCUUCAGUUUACAGACUUGAUGCAAGAGAGAGUGGAGCUGAAGGAGCAUGUAGAAAAGCUGGAGCAUCCAUGUAUUCAGCUGUCAGGAGAAACACACUAUUGGUGAAUACAUUGCACUUUAUCAGAACCAGAGAGCCAUACUGAAGCAGCGUUACAAGGAAAAGGAGGAGUACAUUAGCUGACUGGCUCAGGACAAAGAGGAAAUUAAGGCUAAGCUGCUGGAAUUGCAAGUUUUGGUCAUGCGGCUGGUAACUGAGCGCAAUGAAUGGUACAGGAGUUUCAUGGAAGCAACCCAGGGUCCCCAGACAGGAUCAGAAGAGUUCCCAGCAGAAAACCCUAUGGAACUUGAAGGAAAAGAGAAUGGAGCUCUGGAGGAAGUCGGCUUAGAAUAAGAUGGGAGACAGGAAGUCUAGACAUUGCCUCAUUUGGCAGCUCCUCAGGAACGACUAAACCCAACUUCUGCAUGAGAUACAGAAUCCCCAGGAACGGCCCGGUGCCCUGCUGCAGAAUCCAUGCAUCCCCUUUUUCUACCGUGCUGACUAAAAUGACGAGGUCGAAUUAUGGUGAUUUGAGGGAGGAGUUGACCGAUGCAUCCCUCCUUUUCCCAUGCCAACGCCUGCUUGUGCUGGGAUUCAUUUUCUCCAAGGACACAUUAGAAACGAUUGCUUUGAGAUGGGGGAGUGAUGGAGAUUGGCAAUUAAUUGUGCAGAAUCUGACCAAAGUGAUAGAUAUCCUUUUGCAAUGGAGCCUGACUCGCACUUUGAUCCUAGAGCGACUUCUUAAUCCUGAGUGGGGUCAGGACAAUCUCCCCACCUGCCUUUACAGUGGUUGCCUAUUGGUAACCUUGGUUUCUCUCCAAUUGGAAUUUUAGCUGCUAUCUGGUUUCUUGAGGCCAGUUUAUCCUAGCAACCAGGAGAGACUCGACUAUGACUAGGAAAAGCCUGAAUAGAAGAAAUAAGGGGAAAAAAAUACAUAACAUUUAAGCCUCAUAGAGUGAUCGUUUCUUGUUGACGAGGUUAGUGCCCCCCUUUUAAAGACAAGGAUGAGGCUGAAGUAGAAGAGAAAUCAUUUAAAAACUACAAAAAUGAAGACCAAUUGAAAAGUUGUUGAGAAUAAAAUCAUCCUAGAAAGUAGGGAUGUGCCGAAUACCAAUACGAAUCCUAAUUUGCAUAUACGAAUCCUAAUUUGCAUAUGCAAAUUAUCGAUGGAAGGGAAACACAUUUUUUGUUUCCUUGUUUUGUGAGAAAAAGUCACACAAUUUCCCUCUCCGCCCAUAAUUUGCAUAUGCAAAUUAGGAUUCGGUUCGUCUGGACAGAAGGAAUCGGCAGAAUCUUGGAUUCGGUGCAUCCCUACUAAAACUUGACUCAGAGGUGAACCAAAACUUUUUAAGACGUACGUGUAAUUAUUUUCAGCGGUAUCUGUAUAACUUUAUAUUCUGACACAGUGCAGUGGAAGCCAUCUGGAGGAGAACCAUCUUCUGGUUCAUAGUUUCAACAAUCAAAACCAGAGAAUGGAAAGGGAUACUGUAUAUGGCUUUUGGUAGCAAUGACAUGAGUAUUGUUCACAUUUCACCCAAGCUCUUAGAAUGAGCUAUGAAUGUAUAUUGGGGACAAAGGAGUCCGUCUGCUGUGGAACCAUAGGCUGCCAAAUACUUACUGUGUAUAUAGGAUCUCUAAAAUGCAUGAAGCAAUGUUUUCUUAUUCAGAUGUUAGUUUCCCUAGAGCACCAUAGAAGAGAAGAGGAUCACAAUACAACAAUAAUCAAACACACACACACUGUGUAAUUACAGUAUAAGCGCCAUCUCCUUUAUAACUAUCGUAUAACACAUAAGCCUGUUAUAUUAUAUGGUCAUCUUAUUCCGAUCUCCAGGGACGUAACUGGGACAUCCCAGGGCCUCCCCAUCCACCAAUACUGUUGUAAUUAAUCUCUCUGUCUCCGUCUCUCCCUAUAUUUAAGUCACUGAUGAUCUCUCAGCUCCGAAAAGAAAAAUGAUCUGUUUAAACAAUAAUUAUAAUAUUUAUAUCUACACUUGUUGUAAACUAGUAGGGCAACAGAGACCACCAAGGCAGCAGCCCCAAGGGGCCCGGGCCUCCCAGUCCGACCCUGGCCAUACACGAGCCAAUAUAAGAUGCAGACGGAUUAAGUCGGCAGUGUAUGGGGCCCUCCAACAGGUACCCCCGAUUGAUAUCUAGCCAAAAUUCCAGGUUAAAAAAUCCUGUUGGCCCUACAUACGGAGUUGGAUCUCUGCAUGUAGGGCCACCUUUAGACUUAUCCCCACCAGAUACUGUAUAUCAUGAUCAGGGUGAAUGAAAGCCUUCAUAGACGUUAAUGCUAAAGCUUGCUUGCCCUAUAGAAUAUUGGGAAAAGGAAUGUAUAGGCCACUUCUAAUCUCAUUAUGUGACUAUGGACCUUAAGUACUAUCAUUAUCUUCCUCAUGACCUGCAGUGUGUCGGCAUCUCUAUUUAUAAGGAUGGAGAAUAGAGGAAAUUACUUUUACAGCCUGCCAUAAAGCACCAAGUAUAGAGAAGGAAGGAAGGAGGUCCCCGCCCCAUAGAGCUUACAGUCACAAUCUUCAGGCCCACCAGUCUGCCACAUGGACAUAAGUGGAAAUAUCUAGGGUUUCUUACAAAAUGAUAGGCCGUUACCCAAAGACAUGGAUUCAAGUAUAUAUAUAUAUAUAUAUAUAUAUAUAUAUAUAUAUAUAUAUAUACUCUGAAGACGUGAGGUUCCAAAAUGCGUAGAUGUUUAUAUGAUUCAGUAAAGGACUUCUAACAACCUUUAUGCCGUGAGUGCCUCCUUUUAUUUUUGAUAUUUACCCCGAUGACAGGCCUAGAGUCUAUUUACCCUCUAGUUCUUUAAACUUUUGUGCAGCAACACUGAGAACCGCUUUGACAGCGAUCGUGUCCUGAAUACCACACACUCCAUGGCUGGGCUGGAUAAGUGACACGCAGAACCGCUUGGACAGCGGUCGUGUCUUAAUUACUGUAUGCUCACUGAUAAUGCAGAAGUACAGAGACCCGGUAGAAGCAUAGUAUACACCCACCACUGCUCAGUGAUAGGUCGCCAGGCCCGCAUUUGACACGCACUGACAGUUAGAAUAGGAGUUGGGGGAGUGGCCUGCAUAGUGACACUGUGCAUUCACAGUACUGCGCUCUUGUUUUCUUUUGGUUUUCGCUUAAUCUUUUUUGUGCGUUUCACCCUGCUGUUAUCUUUCCCCAUGUGCCUUUUAGAUUAUAUCACUGGCCAAUAGAUUUGAGCACUUUCACUGACACCUGUAUGGUUGCCUAGCAACAGAUUUUGGCGCCAUUUCAAGGCUUUAUUACCUCUGGGGGGUUGUGGGUGCUGGAUGGAUGUUUGUUUGUUU